rnacentral:lncRNA from 1 species
GGGAUAUAUAUGGGGACGGAUAUGAAUUAAAUAUUAAAUUUAAUCAUAUAUAUAUUUAAUGAAUGUAUUUAUGUGGGCGUUUAUGUAUGCAUGAAUUAAUUAUUUAAUUGUCGGUGGCGCCGUGGCGGGCUCGCGCCCGGGCAGGGGUGUGACCUGGAUUCCGCGGGGGGAUGGAAUUUUUGCCCAUAUGUUGGGGGGCAGCCAGUUCAAUAUAUCUCCUAUGGGUUUCAAAAUAUUGAGUUUGGGAUUCUUUCGCAUUGGACUUAACUCACUUCUUAAUUAGAUGCUGAUAAAAAGGUCCUCUAGAUUGUCCCGCAGGUCUGUUUGUUUCCUCUUUCCAGAAUUGUUUCUAAACGGUCACACACACAAAACGCUCUAACACUGCCGAUGUUUAUUUUUCCACUGCCGGCAUGUUCAGCGUAGCUGCUCUAUGCAGUCCAUCUCUUCUAUUGCCCUUGAACCAAGUUCAAGUAGUAGCGUACUUGGACGGAAGAAUUAUUCGCAAACAAUCGAAGGAAACCGAAACCUAACGGCUUUACCCUAAGAUCUUGCAGCGCCCAACGUAGGCUCACACCCACUCAGUUUCUACAUGAGUGCUAUAUUCUUCUUUACUUCUCCUUCCAAAGCUUCCCCACUACAAUUCAGGUCUUUGGCGUGAAAAAUCCCCACCGGCUUCCCCGCCAGGUCUUCAAGCUCGUAGGCAUUAUUUCCAACCUGGCGUACGACUCGGCACUUCAGGAACUUCCGGGCGAACUUGGCGUUGUAGCUCUUCCCAAAGUCGCUGAGGGUAAAGUUGCGCCUGUAUACCUCUUGCCCUGGUUUGGCCCGUUUGUUGUAGCGCUAGCUGCUGCGCUCACACGCUUGGUGAAGGUUGGUCUUGAUAACUUCCCGGAUGAUGUGGCGUUUAUCCGCGACUGCAGCUUCCUCGCCAACUUAUAACAGUUCCCAUUAAGGAACAUUUGCUGUCCAAUAACUGAAAAAAACUGCGUUACGCCUGUGGCUUCGUGCACCGAGUCACGGAUCGACACUUCAAUCUCCGGUAGGUACAUAUCCCAGUCUCGAUGAUCCUUCUCCAAAUACGUCCUGACUGCAGCUAAUGUUGUCCGGUUCACCCUCUCGGCGGCAUUUCCUUGCGGUGAGUAGACUGCUGUGCGCAGAUAUCGGACGCCAAAGGUGCUAAUCAUAUCCUGGAAGAUCUUCGACAGGAACUGCUUUCAGUUGUCGGAGUGGAUGACCUCGGGUACCCCAAACUUGUAGAAAACUUCCUGUACUAGGAAUUAAACUACGUUCUCCGCGGUCGCCUCUCUCAUUGCCUUCAGAAAGGUGAAUUAAGAGAAGUGGUAUACGACGACAAAAAUCCAGGCUUGUCCCGUUUUCGAUCUCGGAUACUUCCCCAGAAAAUCGAUGUAUAAUUUCUAGAGCGGCCUCUCCGUUACGACUUCCUGACCGAUCCCUACCUGGCUUCGAUAAUUGGGUGGCCUCCGUACAUGCAUCGCAGUUACGGACAUACUCCCUGACUUGUGUCGUCAUCGCUGGCCGGUAGAAUUGCCUUCUUAGCCGAUGCAGGGUCUUUUUAAUUGCACCGUGUCGAGCUGUGUGGUCUUCAUGGGCCUUGGAGAUGAAAGUUUCCGUCAGUGCAGCGGUAAUCCAUAAUUUCCAAAUGGAUCCUUCCACUUGGUCGCCCAUUUGCGUGAAGGCCAUCCGCUUGAAUAUCACAUCCCCUUCCACUCGUAGGUCGGACAACAUGUCAACUUGAUUCUUGCCGAUUUCUCCUUUUAGCUCCUGAUAUUCUGCCGACUCAAACUCUGUCGUCUGGAACCCGAGGAUCUCCGUUGGAUCUAUCACCACUUCGUCGAUGCAGCGUGAGAGUGUAUCUGCCGGUGUUCGAUCCCAAAGUCGAACCUCUGCAGUCGCAAUGACUGCUCAACUCAACGUACAGUCUGAAUUUCUCAAUGGACAACACCGCAGCUAAACACUCUUUUUCCGUUACCGAAUAAUUUAGCUGAUGCUUGUUUAACUUGGCUGAGAAGAAAGCCACUGGACGCUCGGCUCUUUCGUCGUCCAACUGAAACAACACCGCUCCCACUCCGUAAUUCGAUGCGUCGCACUGUACAUAGAAAGGCUUCUUGAAAUCAGCAUGACUUAAUACCGGAGCCGUGGUGAGUGCCUUUUUCAGGGAUCCAAUCGCCGUCUCGGCCUCCGUCGACAAGGAAAACUUUCCACGCGGAUGCUUCUUCAGCGCGUCUGUCAUCGGCACUGCAAUGGAAGCGUAAUCCUUGAUGAAGCGCCUGUACCAUCCUGCGGUUCCUAGGAAGCUUCUUAGUUCCUUCACUGAACUCGGAUUGGGAAUAUUUUGAACGGCUAAAACUCUCUCAGGAUCCAUCUGCAACGUGCCUCCUUCGAUGAUAAAUCCCAGGUAUUUCAGUGACCUGAAGCAGAAUUUUGAUUUUGUCAAGCCUAUUGUUAAAUUUGCUUUUCACAGGCACUGAGCUACCAUUCGAAGGUAAAUGAGAUGCGUCUGGAAAUCGGGAGCUAUCACCAAGAGAUCAUCCAGAUAGACGAAAACGUUUGAUCUCAACUGCGUCGGGAUCACUUUGUCCAUCACUCGACAUAGCCUCUGUGCAGCGUUACACAGACCGAAGGGCAUCAUCACGAAUUGAUACAGCGGACGACCUGGAACGGUGAACGCGGUACACUUCCUGCUUUCUGGAUCCAGCUUGAUUUGCCAGAACGAAAAUUUGAGGUCUACACUUGAAAUGUAGUGCGUCUGGUCGAUCCUGGACAGUAUUCCCUCGAUGCUGGAACAGGGUACGCGUCUUUGACGGUGAGUUGGUUCAGCUUUCGGGCGUCUAAACAAAAUCUGUUUGGCUUGUUAGGUCCGGGUUUUUUGGUUUGUUAGGUUUCCGCACUACCGUCGUCCUAUUGCUCCACGGACUAUCGCUAACCUCUAUCACUCCUAGUUCCAGCAUCUUGUCUACUUAGGUCCAGACCACUUCCUGCAUCGCGGGGGAUUGAGGGUAGUGUCGAUCUUUAAAAGGCUCCGCGCCCUCUACUAACUGGAUCCGAUGCUCCUCUACUGUCGUUGACCCUAAUCCAGCAUCUUCGUAAGUCAGGAACUCCUUCUUCACCUCGUCCAGUUCUUCAGCUUCCUUCUCUUCCAGGUCCCACGCGUCCACAUGUACGUUCUCCCGGUGCUCUUCGGCAUAUUGGCUCCACCGGGAUUCUCGCUUUGCCGAUUAUGGUCCUGUCUACUCCUGAGGCUGUCUUGAAGAGCGAGACAUAGUUGUCCAGCUCCACCACGAGGUCGUCUAGGAGCUCACGACUGCCCUUUCCGAUGACACUUACGGACUCCCCAGUAUCCAGGAGUCCGGAAGUACAUCGGCAAAACCCUUGGGUCACAUCCUGACCCACGCCUGACUGCUGCAGCCACCUCCUUUAGAGUCUGUCUCCUUUACCGGAAGCGUGCACGGGCCUUCUGGAGCCUACGGCUGACACCUCGCAUUCCAUUCAUCUGGUGUCUGUCAAAGAUCCGAUUUCGGACUUUUUUAUAUCUCCUCAUUCUCUCUUCGACCGGUAAGAAUUUAAAACUAUGUUUCUAUUCACUACUUAGGUUAAUAUGCUUAAUUUUUACAAUAUCCAAUAGCGCAUCCUUAACUUUCUCGCGGGCCUUCGUCCCCAUCUCUGAUAUCCCGCCUUCAUCAUGCUCGUUCUUGCGUUUCCCGAGCAGUUGGGACACUUCGCCGUGUACGUUUCGGGCUUUCUGCAGAGGUAGCAGAAUACCCUGCGUUCCUUUGACAUACACUCUCGGAAACUGUGGUCAACUUCUCCGCAAUUCCAGCACACCAGCCUCGGCCUCGCUGUCAGGUGUGUUUCCUCAACCAUCACCUCUUCCUCUCCUUCCGACAGCUCCGACUCUGGCUCGAUCUGCUUCACUCGCUUAGCGGAUUGUUGGAACUUCAGCGUCUUCGAAAAUGGUACUUCACCUCCACACACUCUUCCCUAAGCUGCUCCAGGUUCCGGACUCGGAUCGCGUACAAAUAACGAGCGAUCUCCUUCUCGAGCCCCUUCUUGACGACUCUGACCAUUUCGGAAUCCGCUAUUGGUGUGAUAAGUCUUGCUGCCAGCCUCCGUAUCCCUCGAAAAUAGUCUUCCACCGAUUCUCCAGGUUCUUGCCGUCGCUCAUGCAACGCACGCAGCCGUUCGUAUUGCCCACCUACUGCACGGUAUCGGGACACCAGCUCGUCCUUUAAGUCCUCCCAGACUUCUAGAGGCCUCUCUCGGACUAACUGCCAGUACCACUCGGCAGCCCGUCCUCUCAUCAGCUGGUGAAAAUUAUCCAGGACUUCGUCCCACGAGCGUCGACUCUGCCUCUGGAGAAAUUCGACCCGAAGGACGAAAUCCUCCACCGUCAGUUUGGCUGGGUCUGGGUCGCCGUCGAAAUGGAUGUCCCACUUGUCGACGCGUCCCCAUCUCGGCUCCCUCCACUCGGCUCGCCUCUCGUAGGGCGUCGUGAAUCGCCGCGCUCCGCCGUCUACUGCUGGUUCCCGUUCCAGUCCGGCAAUUCUUUUGGGGUCUUCGGCGGGUUCAAGCUGUCGUUCUCGCCUCCUUCCGCGCCGGUGUGUCCUGUCAUUUUCACUCUUGACCGUAAAUCGUAACUGCUCAUAUAUUUUAUCUUCCUACCUAGCUUUUCUUUCUUCCACAGAAAACUAACUAACUUCAACAAAGCUCAACACGGAACUUCAAAAUACUGCAAGAUCAACAAUAAGAGGGGAAAGUAACCACAACUGCUACUGGAGCCAUCUGCACCCAUCUUCCCUACGUGUUUCCUGUCCACCGUCUACAACUUCUUCGCGAGCUCUGUUGACCUCUCAUCUUCUACAGAAGAUUAAGAGUUAAGGGCGCUCACUCUGCUACCUGCUUCUAGCCCACUACUCUACUGGAAGCUAUCUUCGGGAUCCUUCGACGUUCGUCGUCGCGAACGGACUGGGACUCAUAAACUAGUCUUAGAUUGGGUGCCAUUAUUGUUACGAACCUGUUUUGGUGUUGGGGCAAGGCCGGCUAGCCAGUCAUCCCAGGGCUGAGUUCUUCGCAGGCCCCCAGGUCGCACAACAAACCAACUGUUCGGACAUCUCGAACAAAUACGAUAACAACACGGUAAUUAAAAAACGAGAAGGGACGUGUGAGGCGCUUCUUACGCGUCACAACUUUUAUACCCGUCACUCAGGACUACAUCUAGAUGUAGAAGACAUCACCAACCACUAGAUAUCGUUCACAUUACAGAACACGUAGUAAGAGCCUACUAAAUAAAAUGCAUCAAACUAAUUGGAUCAGUUAAU